rnacentral:sRNA from 1 species
GAUUCCACCUUCCCACACUCCCCUUGUUUUCCUCCUCUGAGUACCCCAGACACUCACUUCUGGAUUUUGGAAGUGGAAAAUGCUUUUGCUUCUUGUUUACCUCCUCUUCAUAGAAACCAGAUCUUGCUGGUCCUCACUUGGAGGUAACCUCGGGUUCUGAAGAGCUUUGAGAAUCACUGUCCAUGAGCAGGCAGCCACUUCCUUACAGCAAGAAAGAUUCUAAGAGUCAUAAAUCAGCAUCCUGUAAAGGAUCAUUGAUGAGAUCGCCCUGUUCUCAGCAGCAUCUCGCAGCAGCAGCAGCAGCAGCAGCAGCAGCAGCAGCAGCAGCAGCAGCAGCAGCACCCAGGACUGGACACUGCCCGCCUCAGUGAUUGACAAGCUUCUGUGAUUAUUUCUGCUUGACUGUUGCGGAAUCGAUGCUGCUUAGAGAAGCAGCAAUGCCUUUAAAAGCCGUUAUGUCGUAGGAAACAAUAGCUACAUAAUAAAAUAGUCAAUGU